UUUUUUAUGAAAUAAAGGUCAAUCAAUCUGGAAAAUCAACUCCUACUUCACGGGGCAUCUAUUUGAGGGAGGCUAGUGCUUGCCAACUACCUACAGAGUGGACAGUGCAAGUUGAGCCUAAGUUUCAUGAAGGUGCAAGUAAUUUGGAAGAAUUGGUUCCCUUUGAGGAGUGCAUUGAGUUACAUUCUACUGAAAAGUCAGUUGUGAUGGCUCCAGAGUACCUCCUCCUUACUCAUAAUGGGCGUAGCUUCAAUGUAGUGAUCGAUCCUACCAAGUUAAGUGAUGGUUUACAUUAUUAUGAAGUCUAUGGAGUUGAUUGCAAAGCACCAUGGCGUGGUCCCAUUUUCAGGAUUCCAG
rnacentral:misc_RNA from 1 species